UACGUAGGUGGCAAGCGUUGUCCGGAUUUACUGGGUGUAAAGGGCGUGUAGCCGGGUCGGCAAGUCAGAUGUGAAAUCUAGGGGCUCAACCCCUAAACUGCAUUUGAAACUGUUGAUCUUGAGUAUCGGAGAGGUAACCGGAAUUCCUUGUGUAGCGGUGAAAUGCGUAGAUAUAAGGAAGAACACCAGUGGCGAAGGCGGGUUACUGGACGACAACUGACGGUGAGGCGCGAAAGCGUGGGGAGCAAACAGG
rnacentral:rRNA from 1 species